rnacentral:rRNA from 1 species
GUAGGUGGCAAGCGUUGUCCGGAAUUAUUGGGCGUAAAGCGCGCGCAGGCGGUUCUUUAAGUCUGAUGUGAAGGCCCACGGCUCAACCGUGGAGGGUCAUUGGAAACUGGAGAACUUGAGUACAGAAGAGGAAAGCGGAAUUCCACGUGUAGCGGUGAAAUGCGUAGAGAUGUGGAGGAACACCGGUGGCGAAGGCGGCUUUCUGGUCUGUACUGACGCUGAGGCGCGAAAGCGUGGGGAGCAAACAGGGAUUAGAUACCCUGGUAGUCCACGCCGUAAACGAUGAGUGCUAAGUGUUAGGGGGUUUCCCGCCCCUUAGUGCUGCAGCUAACGCAUUAAGCACUCCGCCUGGGGAGUACGGCCGCAAGGCUG